rnacentral:rRNA from 1 species
UACGUAGGGUGCGAGCGUUGUCCGGAAUUAUUGGGCGUAAAGAGCUUGUAGGCGGUUUGUCGCGUCUGCUGUGAAAAUCCGGGGCUCAACCCCGGACUUGCAGUGGGUACGGGCAGACUAGAGUGCGGUAGGGGUGACUGGAAUUCCUGGUGUAGCGGUGGAAUGCGCAGAUAUCAGGAGGAACACCGAUGGCGAAGGCAGGUCACUGGCCCGGUACUGACGCUGAGGUGCGAAAGCGUGGGGAGCAAACAGG